rnacentral:rRNA from 1 species
AGAACGAACGCUGGCGGCAUGCCUAACACAUGCAAGUCGAACGCCUGUAGCAAUACAGGAGUGGCGCACGGGUGAGUAACGCGUGGGAACCUACCCUGGAGUGGGGGAUAACCGAGGGAAACUUCGGCUAAUACCUCAUACGACCUGAGGGUGAAAGAUUUAUCGCUCUAGGAGGGGCCCGCGUCGGAUUAGCUAGUUGGUGAGGUAACGGCCCACCAAGGCGAUGAUCCGUAGCUGGUCUGAGAGGAUGAUCAGCCACACUGGGACUGAGACACGGCCCAGACUCCUACGGGAGGCAGCAGUGGGGAAUAUUGGACAAUGGGGGCAACCCUGAUCCAGCAAUGCCGCGUGAGUGAUGAAGGCCUUAGGGUUGUAAAGCUCGUUUCGGCGGGGACGAUGAUGACGGUACCGCAGAAGAACGCCCGGCUAACUUCGCGCCAGCAGCCGC